rnacentral:rRNA from 1 species
UACGCAGGGUGCAAGCGUUGUCCGGAAUUAUUGGGCGUAAAGAGCUCGUAGGCGGUUUGUUGCGUCGGCUGUGAAAUCCCGAGGCUCAACCUCGGGUCUGCAGUCGAUACGAGCAAACUAGAGUGUUGCAGGGGAGACUGGAAUUCCUGGUGAUAGCGGUGAAAUGCGCAGAUAUCAGGAGGAACACCGGUGGCGAAGGCGGGUCUCUGGGCAACAACUGACGCU